GUCCACGCCGUAAACGUUGGGCACUAGGUGUGGGUUCCAACCAACGGAAUCCGCGCCGUCGCUAACGCAUUAAGUGCCCCGCCUGGGGAGUACGGCGGCAACGCUAAAACUCAAAGGAAUUGACGGGGGCCCGCACAAGCAGCGGAGCGUGUUGCUUAAUUCGAUGCAACGCGAAGAACCUUACCUGGGUUUGACAUGCUGGGAAAAGCCGUAGAGAUACGGUGUCCUUCGGGGCCCAGCACAGGUGGUGCAUGGCUGUCGU
rnacentral:rRNA from 1 species